rnacentral:rRNA from 1 species
GAUGAACGCUGGCGGCGUGCCUAAUACAUGCAAGUCGAGCGAACGGACGAGAAGCUUGCUUCUCUGAUGUUAGCGGCGGACGGGUGAGUAACACGUGGAUAACCUACCUAUAAGACUGGGAUAACUUCGGGAAACCGGAGCUAAUACCGGAUAAUAUUUUGAACCGCAUGGUUCAAAAGUGAAAGACGGUCUUGCUGUCACUUAUAGAUGGAUCCGCGCUGCAUUAGCUAGUUGGUAAGGUAACGGCUUACCAAGGCAACGAUGCAUAGCCGACCUGAGAGGGUGAUCGGCCACACUGGAACUGAGACACGGUCCAGACUCCUACGGGAGGCAGCAGUAGGGAAUCUUCCGCAAUGGGCGAAAGCCUGACGGAGCAACGCCGCGUGAGUGAUGAAGGUCUUCGGAUCGUAAAACUCUGUUAUUAGGGAAGAACAUAUGUGUAAGUAACCGUGCACAUCUUGACGGUACCUAAUCAGAAAGCCACGGCUAACUACGUGCCAGCAGCCGCGGUAAUACGUANGUGGCNAGCGUUAUCCCGGAUUAUUGGGCGUAAAGCGCGCGUAGGCGGUUUUUUAGUCUGAUGUGAAAGCCCACGGCUCAACCUUGGAGGGUCAUUGGAAACUGGAAAACUUGAGUGCAGAAGAGGAAAGUGGAAUUCCAUGUGUAGCGGUGAAAUGCGCAGAGAUAUGGAGGAACACCAGUGGCGAAGGCGACUUUCUGGUCUGUAACUGACGCUGAUGUGCGAAAGCGUGGGGAUCAAACAGGAUUAGAUACCCUGGUAGUCCACGCCGUAAACGAUGAGUGCUAAGUGUUAGGGGGUUUCCGCCCCUUAGUGCUGCAGCUAACGCAUUAAGCACUCCGCCUGGGGAGUACGACCGCAAGGUUGAAACUCAAAGGAAUUGACGGGGACCCGCACAAGCGGUGGAGCAUGUGGUUUAAUUCGAAGCAACGCGAAGAACCUUACCAAAUCUUGACAUCCUUUGACAACUCUAGAGAUAGAGCCUUCCCCUUCGGGGGACAAAGUGACAGGUGGUGCAUGGUUGUCGUCAGCUCGUGUCGUGAGAUGUUGGGUUAAGUCCCGCAACGAGCGCAACCCUUAAGCUUAGUUGCCAUCAUUAAGUUGGGCACUCUAAGUUGACUGCCGGUGACAAACCGGAGGAAGGUGGGGAUGACGUCAAAUCAUCAUGCCCCUUAUGAUUUGGGCUACACACGUGCUACAAUGGACAAUACAAAGGGCAGCGAAACCGCGAGGUCAAGCAAAUCCCAUAAAGUUGUUCUCAGUUCGGAUUGUAGUCUGCAACUCGACUACAUGAAGCUGGAAUCGCUAGUAAUCGUAGAUCAGCAUGCUACGGUGAAUACGUUCCCGGGUCU